CUCUAUAAAUUGUUGCAUGUAACAAUGAACUAAUGCAACACUAAGCUAAGUUCAUAACAAAUAAUUUUAGCUUAUUCUUUCUUUUGAUCAAACAAACAAUGACUUAUGUUAAGCUUGUUACUUCGGCUGUCUUCAUGCUCACCACAUUCUUAAUCAUCCAGACGAAGAACGUUGAAGCAUAUUGUGCAAGAUACGGUAUGCGUUGUUCAAUAUUUGAGUUGAAUCCAUGCGGCAACUCCAUAACGUGUCAAUGUGUCAGUUUGCAAAUAUUUGGAAUGACCUGCAUUGGAGUACCAGAUGGCCUCUAACUCUAAUGAAAAGGAGUACUUGAAGAUGGCUUUGGAUAUUGCUACUUAAGAAUGAUAUUGCCGCCAAAACCGUAAACAUGGAUAUCUAGCCGUUUCCGGACCAUAUGAUUUUAAAUGAUAUGUUACUUCUCCCUCUCUUUUUUGUGAGCCUUCAGCUAAAACCCCAAUUUCUUCUUCUUCUUCGUCCACCAAAGAGGGGUGGUUUAAGGUCAAUUUUUUACCCCAAAGCACCCCUCUACAUUGUUUUUCUCCUUCCUUUUUUUUAAAUAAAUUAUUUCACAUCGAAUUAGGUUUUUCUUUCGUGAUUUUGACGUCUUAGUGCGACGCUGUUUUGUUUGUCGUCUUUGUACGAUCGAUGUUAUUUGUCAUUUCCCUCUUGUUCAAGUGUUUGUUCAAUUCAGAUUGUCAGAUUAGCUUUGAUCCAAUGCAGAUCCAACCAAUGAUUUUGGCGUCAUCAACGUUGCAGAUCCGAAGGCAUGGCUAUUCCGGAGAUUUUAAUAUAGUCAUAUUUGUAGGCCUAUGUACUUUGCCAUUUUAUGCUAUUAACAUGGAUGUUGUGAGUUUAUUCACAUAUUCAUCCUUUUUGUUUUUA